rnacentral:rRNA from 1 species
CUUCCGUAGGUGAACCUGCGGAAGGAUCAUUACAAAAUACCAGCGCCGGUCCCCCGGGGUCGCGCGCUUCUAUUUACCCACCCUUUGCCUAUGUGUACCCCAAUCGCUUCCUCGGCAGGCUCGCCUGCCGCCAGGAACCACCCAAAACCCUUGCAUCUAUACAUGAAAACUUCUGAUACCAACCUAAAAUUAUUACAACUUUUAACAAUGGAUCUCUUGGUUCUGGCAUCGAUGAAGAACGCAGCGAAAUGCGAUAAGUAGUGUGAAUUGCAGAAUUCAGUGAAUCAUCGAAUCUUUGAACGCACAUUGCGCCCCUCGGUAUUCCGUGGGGCACGCCUGUUCGAGCGUCAUUUACACCCUCAAGCCUAGCUUGGUGUUGGGCGUCUGUCCCGCUCCCCGUAGCGCGGACUCGCCUCAAAGUCAUUGGCGGCGGUCGUGCCGGCUCCUCGCGCAGCACAUUUGCGCUUCUCGGAGGCCCGGCGGAUCAGCAUCCAGCAAGCUACCUUUUAUGACUUGACCUCGGAUCAGGUGAGGAUACCCGCUGAACUUAAGCAUAUCAAUAAGCGGAGGAA